GACGAACGCUGGCGGCGUGCUUAACACAUGCAAGUCGAGCGGUAAGGCCCUCGGGUACGACGAGCGGCGAACGGGUGAGUAACACGUGGGUGACCUGCCUCUAGCUCUGGGAUAAGCCUGGGAAACUGGGUCUAAUACCGGAUAUGACUCCACGGCGCAUGUUGUGGGGUGGAAAGCCUUGUGUGGCUAGAGAUGGGCCCGCGGCCUAUCAGCUUGUUGGUGGGGUGAGGCCUACCAAGGCGACGACGGGUAGCCGGCCUGAGAGGGCGACCGGCCACACUGGGACUGAGACACGGCCCAGACUCCUACGGGAGGCAGCAGUGGGGAAUCUUGCGCAAUGGGCGAAAGCCUGACGCAGCG
rnacentral:rRNA from 1 species